rnacentral:rRNA from 1 species
UUGAACGCUGGCGGCAGGCCUAACACAUGCAAGUCGAGCGGAUGAAGGGAGCUUGCUCCUGGAUUCAGCGGCGGACGGGUGAGUAAUGCCUAGGAAUCUGCCUGGUAGUGGGGGAUAACGUCCGGAAACGGGCGCUAAUACCGCAUACGUCCUGAGGGAGAAAGUGGGGGAUCUUCGGACCUCACGCUAUCAGAUGAGCCUAGGUCGGAUUAGCUAGUUGGUGGGGUAAAGGCCUACCAAGGCGACGAUCCGUAACUGGUCUGAGAGGAUGAUCAGUCACACUGGAACUGAGACACGGUCCAGACUCCUACGGGAGGCAGCAGUGGGGAAUAUUGGACAAUGGGCGAAAGCCUGAUCCAGCCAUGCCGCGUGUGUGAAGAAGGUCUUCGGAUUGUAAAGCACUUUAAGUUGGGAGGAAGGGCAGUAAGUUAAUACCUUGCUGUUUUGACGUUACCAACAGAAUGAGCACCGGCUAACUUCGUG